rnacentral:tRNA from 1 species
ACCCGCUAUAGUUUAUGUAAAACACUGAAUUGCAAAUUCGGAAAAGAAAUUAAUAUUUCUAGUGAGUU